CGCCGCCCGUUGGUGUUUUUUUUUUUCAUUUUUUUAAACCUUCUGCGGCUCCCGGCCAAGGGCGGGGGGCUCUGCCCCGGCAGGCUGGGCGCGGAGGUGACACGGGCUGGUUGCUCCUCGCCCCGUGGCUCCGUGGGGACCACCUUCCCCCCGCCGCGGGGAGACGUUCUGCUCCAGGUACCCUCCUCGCCAGCUUUGAUGCCAUCCUGCCUGCCCUGCCUUCUCGCCAGUCCUGCAGUCUUCACUUCAUCUACUGUGCGAGGAAUGGCGAUUCUGUGAGAGAACUUCCUUUUGAUUACCUGUCUCCUGCUAUUGCUUGCUGCUCCUGGCCAGUGAUGAGCCAUUCAGCUGGACUGGGAUUUACCGUGAAGAAGGGAGAGGCAGAAUAUGGAUUGUAGACAUCCUAUCGCAUUCCUCACGUACUGUUUUUACCGUGUCUGUAUAUAAACCUGCUAGUAUCAAGCACACACACUCUCUUAAACCUACAUUGGUAUUCACAGACUUGCUAUUGUGUAAGAGGACUGGUGUUUAUCACCACCAUGGCUUCAGUUUGGAAGAGGCUGCAGCGUGUUGGGAAACAUGCAUCCAAGUUCCAGUUUGUGGCCUCUUACCAGGAAUUGAUGGUCGAGUGCACCAAGAAAUGGCUUUAGCCAUCUGUUUUUCUCUUCUAUUGUAGUUUCAUAACUGGAUGCUGCAGGAAUCCUAAGAUUUGGCAUGCACUGUGCAUGGAAGAGAAAUGAGCUUUCUGAGAUUCCACGGUUCACACUGAUCUGUUUGCCUUCUGCUUUCCAGCAAACUCAUCAGUGCUGAAGGCCACCAAAAGAACUGGAGUUAACUGGUUGCUGUAGAAAUCCUUGAUUUCCCCUACAGGGUCAGGCUGUACAUUGCUCAAUUAAUUUCCUUGCUUUGUAUAGUUGUUAGAGGGGAUUUUGUGAGUACCUAAGAGCUUUUAAUUAUAAAGGGUCAUCGUAUUUAAUCUCUUUGAGUCAGUUUUGCCAUAAACCAUACUUUUUUUCCUCAUGGGCUUGCUCUGCUGAGUUUUUGAUUGUAUUGGAGUGUUAGUUGUAUAGGUGUACUGUAACACUUAUAGCUUGUGCAAGGAAGGCACUGUGCAAUUUCUUCUGCAUUUUAGCUUCUGUUCUCCUCUCAAUGAAAUGAUACUCUGUCCUUAUACUUUUGAGAUCUGAUGCAACACCAGACGAACCCCAUUUCCAAAUAUGCUUUAGCAUUUUCUUUUCCAUUCCAGUUUUGACUGAGGACUUUUUGAGGACUUAAAUUGUGUAUCAAACUUACUCUUUCCAAAUAAUCACUACCAACUGCCUUACAGCUCUCUUGUCGCUUUCUUUCUGCAGUCAAUUAAAACUGUCUUACUGUCCAUACACAGAAGCAGUUCUCCUCUGUCACCUUGCAUCUCUCUUCUUUGUAUAAAAAAAAAAAUAAAUCCAUGAUUGCAGAAACAUAGACUUGCUCCUUUGGACUCUCUGCCUGACUUCUGUCAAUCCUGACUCUUUAACGCCAGCUGCUUUCCUUCCCUACCUUACCAGGCUCGCCUCCUAGCCCUUUUUUACAGCCUUGGGUCCGUUCCAUGGACCACAAGUUAGGAAUUUCUUGUCAAAAUUGUUGGCUGCAUAUUGGCAGCAAAGAGAUUUCAAUAGGAAAUCUGGGGGUAUAUGUGAAAUCUUUGUUGCUGCUAACUUUUUAGGUCGUCAGUGCUGCAUACGUACACCCAUUUUGUAUUUGCAGCAACUUUUUGAGAGUUUUUUUGGAACUCUGUGUCUGAUUCCUGAAAGAUAGAAGCAGGCACAAAGUUUAGUAUCUGUAAGGUAGAACGAUUUGUGUUUGGUCUAAAUACUGGUUCUGAAUUUUAUUUUUCUCAGAGAGAGAGAAUUCUUUUCAGCAACUCCUUGACAUUGCUUACUACCCUAGCGUUAACAAAAAUAAUUAUUGAAUGCAGAAAAUGUUAGAUCAUAUCCAAGUGUAUGUUAAUGUAUUUUGUCCAUUCGAGGAGGCAAUCCUCACCCCUUUAACUGCCCACUUAGUUAUGUUCUGACACGGCUUUAUUUUUUGAGAGUGAAACUGCGCAACUUCCUCACAGAGCUUUUUGAACAAAUAAAACCUUGCUCUGUUCCUACAGGCACUGUGGUGCACACGUGCACUAAAGUGCGUGUACUGUUCUUUUGAACUCAGUGGACUUGAUCUGGAAUGAAGAAUUUUUUUUUUUUUUUUUUUUGCAGGAUUGG